UCCAACAGUUAUCCUCUCUUCUUCCUCUUCGCGCCGCCAUCGCUGGCCGCAGCCGUAGAGCUUGAAGUUUCGCGGCUUUACCGCUGCGUUAAGUUUUGUGGUCUCCGCCGCAGUGUAUGGUGCAUCCACCAAUGGUCUGCACUUAGGGAGGACCGCGUAGUACUACCAUCCAUGGGAGCAUGACGAUGGCGGUGUGGGUCAAGAUGCCAUCGGAUACCUCCAUGUUAUUUCUCAUCCGAUCACAGUAGCUCCCCCUCGCUGCCCUUUUCUCCGGGAGGAUGCUAUCGUCUGUCGCACGACUGCUGACAGCGCGCCUUCGAGGUGCUUCUCAAGAGUAUCUGCAAGUGCUCGAGGUCCGUAACUUGCGUGCAUCCAUUGUAUGAGAAGCGGCGUUUUCAAAUGGUGGAUUCCGACCAAGAAAUUCAUAUUGCAUUUGAUUCUUUGAGGUUGGAGGAUUGAUCGCGUGUCCUUUGCGAGGCGGAUCUAUAUCAGGAUGAUCUGUAUCAAUGCAUUUUCUUUGAUGGGCGAAACGCAAGAAAUCGUGCAUGUCACUCUUGAUGGUUCUUUCUUUGCGCGGAAGGUAUCUGAUUAUGGAACACUGUGAUUUGCAUCUCAUGCUGCAUUCUUGCGGCAACCUAACCGAGUUCUUGCCUCUGACUCUGCUCCUUCGAGGGCUUCCCUUAUUCAGGGUUUUUCUGUUCAUUAAAGAUUGGAGAUACUGGACAGGAGAAAUGUUCCGAAUCAAGAGGGCUUUCUUUAAGAUCUUGAUACAAUCUCACGAACACUCUUCUGCUGUAUUCCCUUGAGAUCAAGCUACGACAAGGCUGUUGCCGUUCUUAUAGAUCUUGGAAAGCCAUGUUCUUGUGGAACAGAUUCAAGAGCCAUGGUUUGGAGCAAAAAUUGACCUCUUCUGUUUACUGGAAGUUGAGGACAAAUGGUGCCUGCAGCUCUUCUGCAUGAAAUACAGCAUACUGCUAAUUUAGCAACAUGGAUUAUUAAAGGUGCUCAAAUUUUUUGGUCAGAUUGCAAAAUUUCUCUUAGUGUCACAAUGAAGAAUUCAUCGAAUGAAAGAAGAAAGAGAGUCCUGCCAUCACUCCACAACAGCAAGACCAUGACGGGGAGAACUGGAAGUUGGACCUGACAUUUCAAUGACUACAGGUGAAGAGUGGUGUCGACAUCUGGUUCGCUGCUGGAAACCGGGAAGCGUGCGGCGGUCUGAUCGAGCCACGAGCUCACUGACGGUGAGGUGGACUGCGAACCCGAGCGAUCGCUGUGGUCAUCGAACCAACCGGGCGGAGGACCACGGAGAGGCCUGGACGGACGAAUUAGAUCGGGAUGGAUGAACCACACGGGUCGGCGACACUGCUGCUGUUCCCUCUCUUCCCUCAUCUCUUUCACUCUCUGUAGCUGUCUGAAUCGCUCUUGCAGCAGCGCGAUGGACGACUGCGUCACGGUUGGUUGGUUGCUGUGCCUCCUCCCCAUGAAUCAGCUUGGAACAGGUCGAGUGAAGAGAGAGUCAUUUAUAGGAGAUGGGUGCUGUCCUUUUUUUUUUUGCUUAUAUCUGAUAUGACGUCGUGCAGUCCUCAAUGAUGUGCAGGGGGAGAGGAGAAUCCAUGGGAGGGAUGCAAAGUCCAAGAGGGAAGAAGUUGGGGGUGGUGGACGGGGGCAGGGCCAAAGCCACUUUUGCAAGGGAGAUUAAAGUAUGAGAGCAGCUCCAAAGACAUGCAUGGAGGUUAGCAUUUGGAGGAGAAUCAAAGGUUAUGUGAUGGAUUGUCCUCUUAUCCUCCUUUUUGCUGAGCUUCCACUUCUCACCGGAUCAGAUCAAUGUGGCUACUGUUCUGCCUCAGGUUCUUUGUUCUAUAUGCUUAGCUCUGGGAAUCUGAACCCCGUAGCGGACCCGAUGAAGAAGAAAAGGUUCAGCCGACGCCACGAACGAUCCAGAUCGCCAUAAAGCUCCAGGCAAAACUACUCUACUCCCAUGGAAUUACAAGGCAUAGUACAAUCAAUCUACAAAUUGGGAAUCACAUCACAGUGCACCAAUCAUCCAGAUUAAGCAGCAAGAAACAAGCAACCAAAUCAACAUCAAAUUCACAUCGCAAUAGGGGGAGAUGCAGGAUCGAUCGGAAGGUACCUCGACGGUCCAAACGAAGAAAUCCAAGGGCUCCGUGGACCGGCCCUUGCUCAUCUCCCCCUUCCGUGCAAAGAAACCCUACAUGUCGCAUCACAGUGACUCCCGCUCAAAUUCAAUUCGCAAAAUCAAGAACACCACCAAGAUUUCUAUGAA